rnacentral:rRNA from 1 species
UGGGGAAUAUUGGACAAUGGGGGCAACCCUGAUCCAGCAAUGCCGCGUGUGUGAAGAAGGUUUUCGGAUUGUAAAGCACUUUCGGCGGGGACGAUGAUGACGGUACCCGCAGAAGAAGCCCCGGCUAACUUCGUGCCAGCAGCCGCGGUAAUACGAAGGGGGCUAGCGUUGCUCGGAAUGACUGGGCGUAAAGGGCGUGUAGGCGGUUUGUACAGUCAGAUGUGAAAUCCCCGGGCUUAACCUGGGAGCUGCAUUUGAUACGUGCAGACUAGAGUGUGAGAGAGGGUUGUGGAAUUCCCAGUGUAGAGGUGAAAUUCGUAGAUAUUGGGAAGAACACCGGUGGCGAAGGCGGCAACCUGGCUCAUGACUGACACUGAGGCGCGAAAGCGUGGGGAGCAAACA